rnacentral:rRNA from 1 species
GACGAACGCUGGCGGCGUGCUUAACACAUGCAAGUCGAGCGGUAAGGCCCCUUCGGGGGUACACGAGCGGCGAACGGGUGAGUAACACGUGAGCAAUCUGCCCAUCACAUCGGGAUAACUCCGGGAAACCGAAGCUAAUACCGAAUACGACCACCUCCGGCAUCGGAUGGUGGGGGAAAGUUCCGGCGGUGAUGGAUGAGCUCGCGGCCUAUCAGCUUGUUGGUGGGGUAACGGCCCACCAAGGCUUCGACGGGUAGCCGGCCUGAGAGGGUGACCGGCCACACUGGGACUGAGACACGGCCCAGACUCCUACGGGAGGCAGCAGUGGGGAAUAUUGGACAAUGGGCGAAAGCCUGAUCCAGCAACGCCGCGUGAGGGAUGACGGCCUUCGGGUUGUAAACCUCUUUCAGCAGGGACGAAGCGCAAGUGACGGUACCUGCAGAAGAAGCACCGGCCAACUACGUG